GCAGAUACAAAAAUGAUAGAAUCAUUACUGAUUAGACCAAAUACAAAUAUGGUCCCCGAGAGAGAUGAGAUGAAAGAAGAUAAGCAACAAAAAAAUGAGGAAGGACUUUUUAGGAAUCGGUAUCUAAUGAAUUCAAAGGUUCCAACAUAAGCAUAAAUGAAAGGAAAAGAGGGGCACAAAAGGAAACAAGGAUGAAAAUGUCGAGAUAUAUCGGUUUGUGUAUCGGUAACCUCCAACACAAUACAUGCAGAGGAAAUAUCAGAGCCACAAUAUUUCCAUUAAAAUCGUCAUUUUUCGCCGAUAUAUCCCUGACAUUUUCAUGAUAUUUCGGUAGUCGCACCCGAUAUAUUGAUGCCACAUCAUCCCCAUUUCAUUUUUUAUUUUUCCCCAAAACUCUUAUAAUGGGCCCAAGCACUAGCCCAACCCAUACUCUCACACCAGCCCAGCAUUGUGAGCCUUCCACCACUCCAAUGCUUAAAUACACCUUUUUGGUGUCAUGAAUUGUUUGCGAUUGCAAGAAUUGGAAUUUUUAAAAGGCAAGGGAAAAUGCAAGUGAAAUGAGGGAAAAUCCAAGUGAAAUGGAACCAAGGAGAUUUGAACCCCUAACCUCAUGCCCACAAUCCCCCACCAACACUAGCCAACCAACCAAACUUCACUUAAUUAAAUGUACAUAUUUUAUAUAAUAAUUACAUAUAAAAUAAAUAUAAAUUUUUGAAUAAAAAAUACUUAUGCAAAUUAUCAUUAUUUCUUUUAUAUCAUUAAAUGCAUCCAAAAUAGAUGAAUACGCAUAAAGUAUGUUUUCAAGUUAUAAACAUUAUGGUUAAUGUUUUCAAGUUAUAAACAUUAUGGUUAAUGUUUUCACGUUAUAAACAUUAUGGUUAAAUAUCACAACUGUACAUAUAUCAUCAUUUAUUUUAUAUCAUUUAAUAUAAUUGAAUUAAAUGAAUCAUAAUUUUAAUAUUAAAUAUAUUUUUAAA
rnacentral:lncRNA from 1 species